rnacentral:lncRNA from 1 species
UUAAAGGCAGUUUUAUAAAACCUCCCUUAAAUUUACAGAAUAAAGCAAAUACACAGGAGGAAAUAUACCACCAAGGAUUAAAGAAGCUCAUGUCAGGACCAGGGAGUUUGCAGUCACAUAGAGUGACUCCCAGGGAAAUCAAAACAACCAGUAACCAUGGUGGUGAGUAUUGUGGAGCUAUGUGCAAGGGUGCUAAGAAAAUAUGGAGAGAUGAAGUCUUGGUCUGCCUGGGACAAUGUGAAAAGGUUUCCCAGAGAAGAAACAAUCUUCAGCUGGGAUAAGCCAUAUAAGCAGGAAAUAGAUAGGAGAAAAAAAUGGAGAUAGGGUCUGUGCUCCGACACCUCAUCAUGAGAGAGGACUUCCCUAGCCAACUUCUCUGACCUCCCUAGGUAAGACAACAACCAUAUCCACUCAGCACUCCUUUAAGUCCCUUUAAGUCUGGCUUAAUG